rnacentral:rRNA from 1 species
CCAAAAACGGAACCAUCAUCCUUUUUAGAAUAAAUUUAAUUCUACUAAACUUGAUAGACAAAAUUAUUACUAGUUUUAAAGAUUAUGGAAAUUAAAGUAAAUCCAGUCUAAAGCCUUAAAAAAUAUAUAAGCAUAUAUUUAGUAAUGCUAGCAUUAUUAAGGUCAAUACGGUGCCAGCAACCGCGGUCAAACCAUAUUAAUAAAUAAUUCUAAUGUAAUCUAACUUCUAAUAAAUAUAUAUACUUAUAGUGUAUGGUGAAAUGUUACUAUAUUCAAAAGUUAAAUAUAUUUUCUUCAAAGUAUAAUAAAAUUAGGCAGGAAAACUGGGAUUAGAUACCCCAUUAUUCUAAACCCCAAAGUUCUUAGAUUGAGGAGUACAACCACUAUAAACUCAAAAGUUAUGGCGGCUAUUAAAACAUAUUAGGGGAGCUUACCAAGUAAUUGACAACCACCAAGAUAUUCUUCUAUAGUUAAAAGUUUGUAUGCCGUCGUCGAAAAUUUUUCUAAGAAAAAUUUUCUCUAUUUUUAUAUAAAGACAGAUCAAGGUGCAGCUAAUACUUUAGAUUUAAGGCGAGCUACAGUAAUAAUAUAUUUACCCAUGUAAUUUUAAAUUUUUACUGAAGUUGGACUUAACAGUAAGCUACAAGUGAUAAAUAGUAACUGAAUUUUAGAUUUAAUAGUGC